GAAACUCUGUAGGCUGUGGAUGCGACCAGCAGAAAAUGAAAGUUUGGAGUCUGAGUAAACAAGCCGAAACAUAGCUGGCCCAAAGGAAUUGAUUUUAACUUGGAUGAUUGGAGCCCAUUAUUAUCUAUUGAUUGAUUGCAGUGGCGUGAUAGAUGCAAUAUCGGGGACAACUUUGAUGGUGAAAGCAUUUCUGACAAUGUGACAAAUUCAUAUUCAUGAUGGUGUUACAUCAAAUACCAUUUUUGGUCGCAUAAGACAUGGAAGAUGUGGUUGUUUCAGAUUAUUUCAUGGCUGAUAGCUUAUGACUAAGGUCCUAACUAUAUGCCAUUUCUUUCUUCUUCUUCUUCCUCUUUUUUUUUUAUUUCUAUUUUUUUUUUUUAUUAAAAAGAAAGAUACGCCAUUUCAAUUUGAGCUGUCCUAUUUUCAAACGUUAGAUAGAGACGUUCACAUUGCAAUUCUCUUUGGCAUUUUACUUGUGGUAAAAAAAGGGUUGGAAUGUUUUUCUUCUGUGAAAGAGAGAAAGGAGCAUGGAGGGAAGCUGAAAUAUUUCCAUAAUGUUUUUCUUGUUCAAUCCCUUAAAGAUAAUAUGAAAUUUUAUUUAGUGAUAACGCA